rnacentral:rRNA from 1 species
AACGAACGCUGGCGGCAUGCCUAACACAUGCAAGUCGAACGAGACCUUCGGGUCUAGUGGCGCACGGGUGCGUAACGCGUGGGAACCUGCCCUUAGGUUCGGAAUAACUCCCCGAAAGGGGUGCUAAUACCGGAUAAUGUCUUCGGACCAAAGAUUUAUCGCCUUUGGAUGGGCCCGCGUUGGAUUAGCUAGUUGGUAGGGUAAAAGCCUACCAAGGCGACGAUCCAUAGCUGGUCUGAGAGGAUGAUCAACCACACUGGGACUGAGGCACGGCCCAGACUCCUACGGGAGGCAGCAGUGGGGAAUAUUGGACAAUGGGCGAAAGCCUGAUCCAGCAAUGCCGCGUGAGUGAUGAAGGCCUUAGGGUUGUAAAGCUCUUUUACCCGGGAUGAUAAUGACAGUACCGGGAGAAUAAGCUCCGGCUAACUCCGUG